GGUGGUUUGUCGCGUUGUUCGUGAAAUCUCACGGCUUAACUGUGAGCGUGCGGGCGAUACGGGCAGACUUGAGUACUGCAGGGGAGACUGGAAUUCCUGGUGUAGCGGUGGAAUGCGCAGAUAUCAGGAGGAACACCGGUGGCGAAGGCGGGUCUCUGGGCAGUAACUGACGCUGAGGAGCGAAAGCGUGGGGAGCGAACAGGAUUAGAUACCCUGGUAGUCCACGCCGUAAACGGUGGGUACUAGGUGUGGGUUUCCUUCCUUGGGAUCCGUGCCGUAGCUAACGCAUUAAGUACCCCGCCUGGGGAGUACGGCCGCAAGGCUAAAACUCAAAGAAAUUGACGGGGGCCCGCACAAGCGGCGGAGCAUGUGGAUUAAUUCGAUGCAACGCGAAGAACCUUACCUGGGUUUGACAUGCACAGGACGCCGGCAGAGAUGUCGGUUCCCUUGUGGCCUGUGUGCAGGUGGUGCAUGGCUGUCGUCAGCUCGUGUCGUGAGAUGUUGGGUUAAGUCCCGCAACGAGCGCAACCCUUGUCUCAUGUUGCCAGCGGGUAAUGCCGGGGACUCGUGAGAGACUGCCGGGGUCAACUCGGAGGAAGGUGGGGAUGACGUCAAGUCAUCAUGCCCCUUAUGUCCAGGGCUUCACACAUGCUACAAUGGCCGGUACAAAGGGCUGCGAUGCCGUAAGGUUAAGCGAAUCCUUUUAAAGCCGGUCCCAGUUCGGAUUGGGGUCUGCAACUCGACCCCAUGAAGUCGGAGU
rnacentral:rRNA from 1 species